UUCAUGUCAAUCUGGGGAAACAGACAAGGUAAGACAUCACUUCAUGUCAAUCUGGGGAAACAGACAAGGUAAGACAUCACUUCAUGACAAUCUGGGGAAACAGACAAGGUAAGACAUCACUUCAUGUCAAUCAGGGGAAACAGACAAGGUGAGACAUCACUUCAUGACAAUCAGGGAAACAGACAAGGUAAGACAUCACUUCAUGACAAUCAGGGGAAACAGACAAGGUAUGACAUCACUUCAUGACAAUCAGGGGAUACAGACAAGGUAAGACAUCACUUCAUGACAAUCUGGGGAAACAGACACGGUAAGACAUCGCUUUGAGAUAAUCAGGGGAAACAGACAAGGUAAGACAUCACUUCAUGUCAAUCUGGGGAAACAGACAAGGUAAGACAUCACUUCAUGUCAAUCUGGGGAAACAGACAAGGUAAGACAUCACUUCAUGACAAUCUGGGGAAACAGACAAGGUAAGACAUCACUU